GCGAUUACAAACGAAAACAACUUUAUUACGCGAACACUAAAUUGAAAAUUUUAUUCCCGUUUAACAAAACGAAAGAGGAGAUGUUUCCUCCGCGGCGGUUUAUUACUAUACUGAUUAACACUAGCUUACUUCUCUAACAUACCUAUCUAUGUACAUAGCAGCUGCUCAGAUUGGCACGAUCAUAUCAGCUGCAUGUAUCCAAAAAGAGCAGACGGGCCAGCGAGAGAAACCUUCGCACUUUCUACCUGACUAGGGGUGAUCAUUUAAAUAUUGCUGUCGAACUAAACUACCUUUCUUGCUCUAACAAUUGCCGGCCGCCUUGAAAUCUUGAUUUCAAUUUACCUAUCUUGCUCUGGCACGUGUGUUUAUGAAUUUCUGUUUUGCUACGGUUAUUCUACUCUUAUAUACUAAACAUUUAAGACAAUCACAUUGUAUUAGCUGUGGAGUUCAUCACAGUUCUCAGGCUGCUGCUAUAUGCUAGUCCUACUGACCCACAUUCGUGCUGUUUACAUACAACGGGCAUCGAUAUUCUGACCUACAUUUGAAGGAGAUCAGUUCUUGUUGCUCGUAGUAGGAUGUGGAUGACUGAUUUGCUUAACGUUGUAAUUCAACCUCUACUCCAUCGGCUGCUGCAGGUGCUGCUUGACCGCCGGACUGGUACUGCUAAUCAUUCUUGGACAUUCUUCAAAUCUUGGACGGAUUGAUGAGACGACUUAUUAUCACUCAAUUGAAACAAUUAUUUGAUAAUGGUUCGAAUAUAUGGUUGCUGGAAGAGAUGA